rnacentral:misc_RNA from 1 species
GAUGAAGAACGCAGCGAAAUGCGAUAAGUAAUGUGAAUUGCAGAAUUCCAGUGAGUCAUCGAAUCUUUGAACGCACAUUGCGCCCAUUGGUAUUCCGAUGGGCAUGCCUGUUCGAGCGUCAUUAUCAACCCUCAAGCCCCUUUGGCUUGGUGUUGGAGACUGGCGGGGCGCAUGCGCCCGGAGCCACUCCCAAAUACAAUGACGGCGGCCUCGUUGGACCCCCGGUACACUGAGUUCUUCACGGGACACGUAUCGGACACAUGGGUUUACGGGACACGGUCUGCCUCCCCUCAGGGAGAAUCUUUCUAAGGUUGACCUCGGAUCAGGUAGGGAUACCCGCUGAACUUAAGCAUAUCAAUAAGCGGAGGA